rnacentral:misc_RNA from 1 species
GGAAGGAUCAUUAACACGUAUCCACGUAUCAACACCAAUGAGAACCAGUUUUCCCGUCUCCCUACCAAAUGAAAUGAAUUGGAGCCAGUCUGAGGGAGUGAUGGGAUGUACGUACCUUUGUGUUGUUAUUCAACAUCGGGAAAUAAAUAUUUAUUUAUUUAUUUCACGCUGCUGCAUUGCAGCUGCAUAUGCGUGCGUGCGUCGGCCUCCCUGGUCACUGAGUCAGAUAGAAAUAUUUAUUUGAUUCGACAAUAUGAUUCAUUUUGGAGGCUACAUUUCUUACUAGUGUUGGUCCCCACUCACGACCCAACCUAGUAAGAGAGCACACCAUUUUUAACUAAACUCACCCCCUUUUUGCUAGUUGACUUUUUAUAUGUGUUCUGAUGCGCUCGUCGCAUUCGUCGCACGUUUAUUUAUUUGAACGUUAAAAAAUACAACUCUUAGCAAUGGAUAUCUUGGUUCUCGCAACGAUGAAGAACGCAGCGAAAUGCGAUACGUAAUGCGAAUUGCAGAAUUCAGUGAAUCAUCAAAUCUUUGAACGCAAAUUGCGCUCUUGGGUAGCCCUAGGAGCACGCCUCUCUCAGUAUCGGUUCAACCUCAUCUCAGCAGCGUUGUUGUAUAGUCAAACCAAAUUCGGUUUGCUAUGCAACAUUCGUGUUGGCUGGAAAAUGAGAGUCUGAGUGCUUCGUCGCUCAGUCUCUUUAAAUACAUGGAGUUAAUAUAACCGCAUCGAUCAGCUCUACCUAUAGUAAGCAAUUAUUAUAGUGUCGAUAGUCGCUCGCAGACGAGUGUUCGAUAGUGACGUGAAUAAUGGCCCGCAAUGGUCUAACCUUUUACGUGUAUCUAUCGAAUGCUUACAAAAAGUCGGCCUGUGGUGAACGUUCGAAUCGGUGUGUGCUAACGUUAGAAGACCAUACGAUCACUAUCAACGUUGAUUCGUCAGUGAUCUGAAUUUUGAUCUGAGAUGAAGCGAGACAACCCCCUGAAUUUAAGCAUAUUAAUAAGGGGAGGAAAAGAAACUAACAAGGAUUCCCCCAGUAACGGCGAGUGAAGCGGGAAGAGCUCAAUUUGAAAAUCGAUUACCUAAACGGGUCAUCGAAUUGUAGCCUAGAGACGUACUAUCAGCUGAAACCUGGGUAUAAGUUCUUUGGAAUGAGGCAUCAUAGAGGGUGAGAAUCCCGUUUAUGACCCAAAGCUUUCAGCGUACGAUGUGCGUUCAUCGAGUCGAGUUGUUUGGGAUUGCAGCUCUAAAUGGGUGCGCCGCUUGCGGCUUGGUCCCGCGUUCCUAUUGUCCUACUCGCUCUCAUAGCAAUGCUAUGUCUGUGUGAAAAGUCAAUACUGGGCGUGCGGAUUCUAUGUGCCAUCACGAUCUUGUACGAAAUGGUUUUUAUCGACCCGUCUUGAAACACGGACCAAGGAGUCUAACAUCUAUGCAAGUAUUUGGGUGCAAAACCCUGAUGCGUAAUGAAAGUAAAGGCGGACUUGUUCCGCUGAGGUAGGAAUCCUUGUCACAGGGGAGGCACUAUCGACCGAUCAUCACUUGUGAAAGAUUUGAGUAAGAGCAUAUCUGUUGGGACCCGAAAGAUGGUGAUCUAUGCCUGAACAGGGUGAAGCCAGGGGAAACUCUGGUGGAGGCUCGUAGCGAUACUGACGUGCAAAUCGUUCGUCUGAUUUGGGUAUAGGGGCGAAAGACUAAUCGAACCAUCUAGUAGCUGGUUCCCUC